rnacentral:lncRNA from 1 species
UGCUUCUUUUCGUUUACCUUAUGCCAUGUGGAUUCUUAUGCCAAACUGCUACAUUUUAAAGCAUCUUAUUCCACUACCUGUCAUUAUAUGAAUCUUCUUUUAGACAUUGUCUCUUCUUUCUUGGACAUGGUAAGGCAAGGAAAACAUGCUUGUCAUCUUCAAGGCAAGCAGGAAUACCUCACUGUCAAAAUACUUAAUGUGAAGUUAGAUUUCCACUCAUUGUAGACAUGUUUGGUAGAAGCUGAUCUCCUAUCAAAUCCACAGGAGUGGCCAUUUGCAAGUCUGAGAUCCACCAUUACAUUCUCAAAGCUGCAAUACGAAUUGGGGAUUUGUGUGUUUGGGUGUAUGUGUAUUGUAGAAUGGUAUUGAGAGGGGAGCUAUGGGGAUUUUUGUCAAACAGACACCAAAGUUAGGUUAUGGCCCCAGAUAUUUGUAAGAUGUGCAAGUGCUUAAUGCUGUGGUUAUCUCUGUAUAUUUCCAUCCUCAGCUUUUCAUGAGUUCUUCUCCUUCUUUUUUCCCAUCCAAUCUUUCCUGUUCCUAAAGGUUUAAAGGACCUGGUAGCAGUCAUUGUUUGGUAGUGGUAGUAGUUGAACAGAGUCUAUAGAACAUGUGCCAAGAGUCAUUGCAGGCAUUGGUACUUGGUGCCACAUAAUGGAGACUUUAUGGUUAUUUUUAUGCUGACACAGAAAGUGAAGCAUUUCUUCUCAUUAAUAGAAAUUGUCCUCAGGAAAGCAGAAGUAAUUUUCUCUAUUGGAUAUUGCUAUCACUAUCUCAAUUAUGAUUUCUCCCAUACCAGUGUGCCAGAGAUUGUAUAGACAUGGAAAAUCCUUGCUUGAAUCAUCUCCAGCCAAAUUAUGCAUCCUGGAUUGAAUCACAGUUGACCUUUAACUGUGUGUGUCACAAGUUUUGGUGGAGGGCAGGAAGUUCCUAUUCAUACUUGUUUUACUAUAGGAGAUGUGCUACGUUCAGCUUAAAUAUAAUAAUAUAAGCUUAAAUACCUAUACAACUGCAAAUGUUACCACUGGCUUCAUGGAGUCUCCGAGAGGGAUGAAAUUCAAGUCCUUUUAUGCCAUAAAAACAAGAUGAGUCUUUCUUGUCUACACCUUCUCCUGUAAUAAUGGAAGACACUGAGGCUAUUGCUUUGAGAAACUG